rnacentral:rRNA from 1 species
GUGCCAGCCGCCGCGGUAAUACGUAGGUGGCGAGCGUUAUCCGGAAUUACUGGGCGUAAAGCGCACGCAGGCGGCUCUUUAAGUUUGACGUGAAAGCUCCCGGCUUAACUGGGAGAGGUCGUUGAAGACUGGAGGGCUUGAGGCAAUGAGAGGGGUGUAGAAUUCCCGGUGUAGUGGUGGAAUGCGUAGAUAUCGGGAGGAAUACCAGUGGCGAAAGCGGCACCCUAGCAUUAGCCUGACGCUCAUGUGCGAAAGCGUGGGGAGCGAACGGGAUUAGAUACCCCGGUAGUCC